UACGUAGGGGGCAAGCGUUGUCCGGAUUUAUUGGGCGUAAAGAGCUCGUAGGCGGUUCGACAAGUCGAAUGUGAAAUCUCCACGCUCAACGUGGAGGGGUCAUUCGAAACUGUCGUGACUCGAGUACGGUAGGGGAGUGUGGAAUUCCCGGUGUAGCGGUGAAAUGCGCAGAGAUCGGGAGGAACACCCGUAGCGAAGGCGGCACUCUGGGCCGAUACUGACGCUGAGGAGCGAAAGCGUGGGGAGCAAA
rnacentral:rRNA from 1 species